rnacentral:rRNA from 1 species
CUCGUGAACUCAUCUUCGGGGGUAGAGCACUGUUUCGACUAGGGGGACAUCCCGACUUACCAACUCGAUGCAAACUGCGAAUACCGAAGAAUGUUAUCACGGUAGACACACGGCGGGUGCUAACGUCCGUCGUGAAGAGGGAAACAACCCAGACCGCCAGCUAAGGUCCCAUAGUCAUGGUUAAGUGGGAAACGAAGUGGGAAGGCUCAGACAGCCAGGAUGUUGGCUUAGAAGCAGCCAUCAUU